UACGUAGGGGGCGAGCGUUGUCCGGAUUUAUUGGGCGUAAAGAGCUCGUAGGCGGUUUGGCAAGUCGGGUGUGAAAACUCCGGGCUCAACUCGGAGACGCCACUCGAUACUGCCAUGACUUGAGUCCGGUAGGGGAGUGCGGAAUUCCGCGUGUAGCAGUGAAAUGCGUAGAGAUGCGGAGGAACACCGAUGGCGAAGGCAGCCCCCUGGGCUAAUACUGACGCUGAGGCACGAAAGCGUGGGGAGCAAACAGG
rnacentral:rRNA from 1 species